GGAAUAUAGAAUACUCCUCGUGCUCCUUCGUGCUUCUCAAUCUCAAGGAAAUGUUACCUCUUUCUACGGUGUAGACGUCCAACCUGCGUGUUUCAUUGCAGUCAUUACUCUGCUUAUGUUAUAGGUGGUCGCGGGUAUCAACUACAGGCUGACAUUUCUUGCUCAAGUAUGCGAUAAAUGGGAGCCAUGUCCUCGAAAUGCUAAGAUGCCUUCUCGAGCCAAAUGCGUGGCAGUCGUCUACGAGGUGCCCUGGCUGCACUCACGAACAUUAACGUCGUUCGACUGCAAAAGCCUCUAGCCUGCCUCUCAAGAAAUAAUAAAGGUAUAAGUUGUCCUUGGAUGUGUA